rnacentral:rRNA from 1 species
UACGUAGGGUCCGAGCGUUUGUCCGGAGUUACUGGGCGUAAAGCGCGCGCAGGUGGUUCCCUAAGCCCGGCGUGAAAGCCCCCGGCUCAACCGGGGAGGGUCGUCGGGGACUGGUGAACUUGAGGGCGGCAGGGGCUGGUGGAAUCCCCGGUGUAGUGGUGAAAUGCGUAGAGAUCGGGGGGAACACCCGUGGCGAAGGCGGCCAGCUGGGCCGACCCUGGACACUGAGGCGCGAAGGCGUGGGGAGCGAACGGG